rnacentral:rRNA from 1 species
CCCUUAGAUGUUCUGGGCCGCACGCGCGCUACACUGACGGAUUCACCGAGUUGAUCCUUGGCCGAAAGGUCCGGGUAAUCUGGAAACUCCGUCGUGAUGGGGCUAGAUUAUUGCAAUUAUUAAUCUUCAACGAGGAAUUCCUAGUAAGCGUGAUUCAUCAGAUCGCGUUGAUUACGUCCCUGCCCUUUGUACACACCGCCCGUCGCUCCUACCGAUUGAAUGGUCCGGUGAAGCGUUCGGAUGGACGCAUCGCGGUGGUCCGCCGCUGCGGCGCGUCCAGAAGUUCGUUAAACCUUAUCAUUUAGAGGAAGGAGAANUCGUAACA